rnacentral:lncRNA from 1 species
GGUUUCUUUUUUUAACAAAAAAAUAACAUAUUACUCAUUCCAUUUAUUUUUUUUAAAAAUAAACUUAGCUGAAAAUAUAAAACAACUAAAUUUUAAAUUUGGAAUCCCGAAUAUCAACCACCGAACUCUUUGCUACUUGUACCGGGGCCGGUCGGUCAAAUUACUAGUUUCUUACAAUUAGGUAUCGUUUGGUUCGGGGAUGAGUAAAAAGUGGGUAUUCCAGGGAUAGGUGUAAAUUGAGGUACAAGCGGGGAUUAGAUCAAUUUUAUGUUUGGAUGAAAAUUAGGUUAUUUCUGGAAAUAAGAAAAAUAAUGUUUGGUUAGGUAAGAUGGAAUAAGAAUUAAAAUAGAUAGCUAUAAAUAAAAAUUAAUAAUAUUAUCUCUUUCUUUAUAUUAGAAUUUGAAUAUGAAAAUCUUUCUUGUUA